rnacentral:lncRNA from 1 species
AAAAGAAGGACCCUGAAGUUAGUCAAGUGGCUGCAAAAAACAUCUGCUCCAGGCCAAAAUGUGGUACAGAAGAUGCCACCAUAGAAUGAAGCUAAGACCAAAUGCAAACAAAAUAGACUACUGUGAAUGGGUCUGCAGAAGGCAAACACACAGAGGAAGAUCAACAACCAAGUUGCCAAGGUCUGGAUCUUUGUUUGAGAGAUCAAAAUGUACCCUAUUCAAUUGGAUGAAAUUCAUCUACAGAUUUGCAGGGCUUCGCUUGAGGCAAAUUGAUAUGCUCAGUGAAGGGAUUACUGGAAGUUCUCAAACACUCUCCAAGAUGGCAAAAACACUGAGGAGAGUCUGUCGCCACUCAAUGAAGG